AGACCGUUUCUCUGUAUAGCCCCUGGAACUCACUUUAAUAUGGUAGAAGUGCUAUGUAGAGGCCAGCCAGAUAAUUCUGCUAGUACCUCUAGGUUUCAAAAAUACAUAGUCUCAUAUCUCUAGAUGCAAUUUUGCCUUCUUUAACUACACUUAAACUACUUUAGGAAAUAAGUGAAUGUGUAGGGAGCAGAUACCUCUGGUGUUUUUGUUUACUGUGAGGACUUUAGCUGCCGGGGAAUUAAAAAGAUGGCAUGAUUGUAGCUCACACAUUAUCCACUCGUGUCUGUGGCAGUCCUACAAUGACACCGUUUUGCUGGAAGCUAUAUAGAACGAGUGUAGAAUAUGGGUCAAACUUAUUAGACACAUCAUUUGAUUAUAUUAUAAAACUGCCUAACUGGACACUAUAUGUCACUUGACCGAGGAAAAAGUUACAGGAGACACAUACCUUCAUCUACACAAAUUACUUAAGUGCUUUGCCACCACUUGUGAAUUAGUCAGGUGCAGGACAUGGGGGCAGUGGGCUAAAAACUUUUCUAGAACAAAUAGUGAGAUCUAAGUUAAAAAUUCAGUAAAGAGGCUAAGGAGAUGGUUCAGUGGUUAAGAGCGCUUACUGCUCAUGCAGAAGACCUGUGUUCAGUACCCAGCACUGACAGAGUCACUCACAACCUCCUGGAACUCCAGUGGCAUGUGGUAUGAUAUUGUCUUUUGACCUCUGAAGGCUCAUGCAUGAAUAUGGUGUAUUAUGCACACUCAAGCGCACAUGUGCAUGUACACACACGCGCACAUGCACACAUACACACAAAUAAAUAAUAGUAAAUAAAUAAAUCAAAUUUUCACAUUUUAAUAAGGGGAAUAUUUCUUUACUUUCAAAAUAUCUGAUUCUCCUAACUGUACAUUGAUACAGCCUACAGUUAGACUCUGGCCAUGGGUUAUUACAUGAUAAAUGCUAAGGGGAGAGAAACUUUUGAGAAACUGAGGGUAUUGUUUGCCACAGAUGAUAAUACGUAAAUUAUUAGUAUGUGAGGCUUUCAGGGAGUGUACAAAUAGCACGUCAAUUGAAGGCAUUUCAUCUGAGCUGUGGGCACGAGUCUUCACAGAUCAGUAGGGCCUGAAAAGAGAAUGCAUGAUAAGACCAUUCAGAAGUUAUUAGUAGGGGAAUUGUGUGCCUUUCUAGGGUCUGGGUCUUCUGUUAUCAUAAAGUCUGAAAGCACCAAUUCCUUAAGUCAGUGGAUUUACUUUAACGUUCACUCCGCCAGUAGAUUAGGAAACGCAUUCUCCUUCUUAGGCAGAAGUGGAGAGCUGUGAGUGCACCUGCUGACUCUGCCUGCAUCGUUGGAACCCAUUACUCUUAGUUACAUCCUGUCUCUUAGCGGCUACGACAGAAUAAUGAUUUUUUUUCCCCUAAUGAAAACGUUACUCAGCAAUCUUGUCAGCAUCUCCCUUUCUCCGGAAUGUUGUCCUCUACUUGCUUUGUGAAUUGAAAAAGAAGGAAGGACAAAUAUUGUCUUCAGGGUACAAUUUGUCUUAUAAAAAUAUAUAAUACCAAUUUUAAUGAAUUCUAUUAGUGGAAAGCUUCAAACAGCAUCACCUGCUGUCAUUCUUGAUAAUGUAUGCAUAUUAUUUGACAUUAGUUUGUAAUCAAUUUAUACUUAAAUAGUCCAAGUAUAUUCUAGUUUUUAAUACUUAGAGAAACUAAUUUAUAAUGAAAUUAUUUUAUCAUUUCUCAUUUUAAUAUACAUUGGAAAGAUAAAUAUGCUUGAAUUUAUGGUAUUCUAUACGUUCAUUAUAUGAUAGCUCAUAAGUAAUACUAUAUAAACUGGCACUAACAUUUUUCAUGUUACAAAGAUGAUGAUUGUUCUUCCCCAACAUUAGGAAAAUAACAACUUCUCUCUUUUUUAUUGUUAUAUUUAUUUAUUUGUUUACUUUACAUCCUGCUCACCGUCAGCCUCCCCCACAAUCCUUCCCACAUGCCACCCUCCCCUUCUCCUCUGAGUGGGUGGUGGCUGCCUGGUUAUCUCCCCAUCCUGGAACAUGAAGUCUCUGAGAGGCUAGGCACUUCCUCUCCCACUAAGGCCACACAAGACAGUCCAGCUAGAACGUACCCCGCAUACAGGCAACAGCCUUUGAGUUAGUCCCUGCUCCAGUUGGAUAGGGCCCACAUGAAGACCAAGCUGAACAUCUACUCCCUAUUUGCCUGGAGGCUUAGAGCCAUCCUGUGUAUGUUCUUUGGUUGGUGGUUCAGACUCUGAGAGCCCCAAGGGUCCAGGUUAGUUGAUUUUGUUGGUCUUCCUGUGGAGUUCUUAUCUUAGGGACUGGACCCCUUCUUGAAUAACUUCUCUCUUUAGGUUAGGUCAUACUGACAGUUUUCCUUCAAUCUUUUUAAAGAAUACUUUCAUCUUAUAAGAACAUCCUAGAGAAGAGCCCCGUAUAUCAGUAUCCUCUUCAUUUCAAGAAACACAUGUUUACAUUUUUUUUUAAGAAAAGGACUUUCAUCUAGAGAUUCUCAUGAAGGAAGGAUACUAUGGGAAAAGAAAUCAAUAAGAAAUUCCCAGGAGAGAUACCUGAAACUGUAAAACCCAAAAGGGAUUUAUAGACAGAAUAUAAAAACCAUUUCCAAAAUUACAAUGUCCAGGGAGCAGGGUGAGGAAGAAGAGAGCCUCAAAAAUAACAAAGGCAAAGUUCUAAAACAUAGUUCAAAAUGGAGGAAAUCCAAAAGACUAACAAUCACAGCAUGUGUCCCAGUCUAGCAGGAUUUAAAGACAUGCUAAUUAAACCAACAGUAACAUAUCCAUUUAUGCCUGGAGGAUUAGCAAGUUUUAGAAAGCUGAACAAUGACAAAUAUUGGGAGAAGUAGUGAGACAUAAGAAAGCUUCUUCCCAGAGUGUAGUAGAGCCAUGGAGCCGCCCCGGAAAAACCAAUCUGAGGCAAUUCUUAGUCCAGUUAUGUUCACAUACCAUCUCUAUCCCCAAAGCUCACCCCAAAGUACACCAUGCAAAUUUUCUCAUCCAGAAAGGAAGGGAGGGAGGAAGGGAGAGAGAGAGAGAGAGAGAGAGAGAGAGAGAGAGAGAGAGAGAGAGAGAGAGAGAGAGAGAACAAGCCAUUAAGUCAUGUAAUGUCCGCAUUUAUUAGCAAUUAUGAAAACUAUGAAAUGAAGGUAUGAAGCUGUGAUUAAAGUAACCAUACCCUUGCCAUAUAAAAAUAAUUAUGAACAGAUAUACAUACAACUGUGCAAGCACAAGAGGUUCAAAUUGUGAGUCCUAAGUCUUUAUUGUUGUUCAAGUGCUUUAACAAUGGCAUUGAUGUAUUUCUUAAACAGAAUUGCUCCAAGGCACUGUUUCUUCACAACUAAGAUAGAAAUUUCCAGACAAGAACCCUGCCAACAUUAUCACCUUGAGAACAUGAUCCCAAGCUUCGGUUAGACUGUCUUCAGUUUCAGGGCAUUUGUAAGUCACUUGAGUACAUAAAAGGCCAGUCAACUGAAGCUGGCCAUUUAUUUAUUUUGAGUUGUCUGUUCAAUAGGCAAGAACUCCCCAUAUGAUUCUUCAUAGAGAUCAAUUAUUUCCUGGAAGAAGUCUUCAAGAUUCAGAGUGAUGGUGUUUUGUUUAGCCAGUUUAGGCAUGUUAUAUGUCUAGACAAAAAUCUCUUUCAGAAAGAUGGCUUUGAUAUAGACCCACAAAUAUUUAAAAAUCAAAAUGUAACUCUUUGGCCAGGCAAUAACCCUCCAUGUGGGUGAACUGGAUGAGAUUUCCAGACCUUCUCUCUCCUGACUUUGAAUUUGCAGCAUCUGGAAUUGAUACUCAUGGUCAUGGUAAUACUUCUGUCUGUCAGAAUGUAUUUUAUCCGAAAUUUUCAGUGUACUUUGCGAUUUAUUAAUCCUUGGAACACCUAAAUAAGGUAGGCAGAUUUUUUUCCCCUAGAGCAACAAAAGAAAUAGAGAGCUGAAAUGAAACUGUACAUAGCCAGCCAUUUGAAGAAAUGGGAGGAAGUGCUCUGCUGUUAGGACAGGAGCCAAUCCUGUUACAUGCUGAACUCCACUGACAGGAUCAUUAUACAAGUCUUCAAUGAAAUUUUAUAGCAUCUGAGAAAGGAAUGAAGAUUUUUUUUUAAACAUCAAAAUUAAUAGAGACGUAAGGAACUAAAAAUAUAACAUCUGACACUGAAAAUGUACUUUUGAGAUAUCACUACAUAUUCCAGUUUAUUGAGUUUAAUGUUUGAACAAACCACUCGUGAUUUGACACUAAAUGUAUGAAUAUGUGUGAAGUGUGAUGGUAUUUGCCUUUGAGUGGUGACAUAACUUGGCUGAAGGCACACACUAGGGAGCAGAGUUAGCAUAUUUUGCUUCUGUUAUCUGCAUCUUGGUUGUUUGUUUUUUUUUUUUUUUUUUUUUUUUAUGUCUGGUUGACUUCGCAUUCACUUCUGAUUUCCAUGCAGCUUAAUAGAGUUUUCCUGAUUUGUCAUGGACAACUUAUGCAUGUGAUUAAUAUUAUAAUAACCAGCGGACAAAUUCUUUGCAAUGAUAAUGAACCCUUCCUUCUGCCAAAGUGAUUGUACUUCCAAUGGCUCGCAUCCCUGGAGAUGCACAGGAUAAACUGAAUACUUUGGGUAUUGUGCGGAUGGCUAAAAAAAAUGAUAAUGUUAUGUAAUAUAGCAUAGGAUAUUUGUUGGUUCAGUUAAGAACAUAAUGUAAAUGAAGUACAUUAAAAUAAUUACUCAACUAUAUAUAUAUAUGACUGAAUAACUACUAAUAGUUGUUACAAUGAAGUCACGUUUCAUAAUAUGGCUUCCAUAUUAUGUGCUGACAAUUAUAUCAAAAUAGUAUAUCAUAUACCCUAUGAACAGCACAAUUUUCUUCUUAUUAAUAUUUUAAAAAUUGGAAAUGCAUUUUAUUAAUAAAUAGACCCAGUCUUUAGUGUGUGAUACUCUUUCCUCUAAAAACAAUAUAAUAAAUAGACUUUUCUCUCUGAUUUUAAUAUUUGCAUAAAAUGCAAAACCUUUUACAUAAUGGAAUAGUCACUUUCUUUAAUAUUAGAUUGCUUUAUUAUUAAUGCUAUUGUAACAUUCUUACCACAUUAAAAUGAAUAUUAAUAUUAUGGUAAUAUAUGACUUAUGAUAAUGUGUUAACAAUAUGACCUUAAAACAGAGUAUUUUAUAUCAAUCAACACUUGUCUUUUAAUCAAACCACCUUUAAAAUUUAGGUCAUAUUACCUAUGUGCACUUUCAAGUCACAUUUCCAGACAAAAGGAGUUCCUUUGGCUUCUCUCACUGAAAGUGUGUUAGCUAUCACAGACCAUGAAGAGCACAAACAUAAUGCAGGCCUGUCAAGGGACUUCCCUGAUAGCAAACGGGUCUGUGGAGGAAUGUCUUCUCUGGCCAUGCCUACCAUUGUGCAAGGAUUCAGUGCAAAACAUUGUCUUCAGGAUCCAGAGCUUGCUGUUUUAUGGCAAACAAAAACAAAAACAAAACAAAACAAAACAAAAACAACAAGCUCUCUUUUCUAUUCAACCCAAAAUGAGAUAUUUUGUAUCAAGAAACAUAGUCUAACAAAAGUAAGUAUGCAAUAGGCCUUUUUUAAUUAGAAAGCAUUAAUUUUCUGAGAAGAAAUAUUUUUAUCAAGAACUCUUUAUUAGAUAUUUUCUUAAUAUACACUUCAAAUGCUAUCCUGAAAGUUCCCUAUACCCUCCCCCCACCCUGCUCCCCUACCCACUCACUCCUGCUUUUUGGCCCUGGCAUUCCCCUGUACUGAGGCAUAUAAAGUUUGCAAUACCAAGGGGCCUCUCUUCCCAGUGAUGGCCAACUAGGCCAUCUUCUUCUACAUAUGCAGCUAGAGACACGAGCUCUGGUGGUACUGGUUAGUUCAUAUUGUUGUUCCACCUAUAGGGUUGCAGACCCCUUCAGCUCCUUGGCUGCUUUCUCUAGCUCCUCCAUUGGGGGCCCUGUGUUCCAUCCAAUAGAUGACUGUGAGCAUCCACUUCUGUAUUUGCCAGGCACUGGCAUAGCCUCAUGCGAGACAGCUAUAACAGGGUCCCUUCAGCAAAAUCUUUCUAGCAUAUGCAAUAGUGUCUGUGUUUGGUGGCUGAUUAUGGGAUGGAUCCCCGGGUGGGCUAGUCUCUGGAUAUUCCAUCCUUUCAUCUUAGCUCCAAACUUUGUCUCUGUAACUCCUUUCAUGGGUAUUUUGAUCCCUAUUCUAAGGAGGAAUGAAGUAUUCACCCAUUGGUCUUCCCUCUUCUUGAUUUUCUUGUGUUUUGCAAAUUGUAUCUUGGGUGUUCUAUGUUUCUGGGCUAAUAUCCACUUAUCAGUGAGUGCAUAUCUAAUGACUUCUUUUGUUAUUGGGUUACCUCACUAAGGAUGAUACCCUCCAGAUCCAUCUAUUUGUCCAAGAAUUUCAUAAAUCCAUUGUUUUUCAUAGCUGAGUAGUACUCCAUUGUGUAAAUGUACCACAUUUUCUGUAUCCAUUCUUCUGUUGAGGGACAUCUGGGUUCUUUCCAGCUUCUAGCUAUUAUAAAUAAGGUUGCUAUGAACAUAGUGGAGCAUAUAAGAACUUUUUGAAACUAACUUGAAGCAAACUUUUCUAAAAUGUAUUUGCCACUUUGUUUUAUAUAUCUGAGAAUGUGGUGGUCAGUUGUUUGGCUGUGUCUUAGUGAAUGAGCUUUUCAUACUACUGUAUGUUUCAUGCCUCUGGUGUUAUCUAAUUUCUUGUAUGUAUUCUAGAAAAAAAAUUGCUCAUUUCUACCCAUUCUCAAAAUCACAACCUGGUUGAACUUUGUUUUUAUAUCACCUAAUAUCCAUAUUCUAACUCUAAUAAAUAUUUGCUACUUGUCUUAUGCCCACUUAUACCCAUAUCUGUUAUAUCUAAAAGUAUGAGAGUAAAUUAAGGCACUAAUACCCAUGUAACUGUUUUAAUCUAUAAAUGUCAGUGUUCUGCCAAUAGCUACCAAAAAGUAAAGCAUAUCAGAUGAAUACCCCUUACUCAUUGGUGCACAGUGACAUAACAGUAAACACAUACAAGGUCUCCCCUUUCUUUCAGAACCUAGUCCUUAGAAUUUCACAGACCCUUUUCCCUGUCUCUCCUGGUACAAACACUAUACAGAUCUCAGCAUCCCAUUCCACUGAAUGUUAGACAGUGAGACAUGCUUUCCUGUCUCCACUCAUUACAGUCUUCCCUCUCCUUGGUUUGACUGGCUUCAAUGUUUGCAGAGAUUAGUCUCUGCUCUGCUUUAUAGGGCUGCUUGUCUUUCUCUGUUUGCAUUUUUUGGUGGCUGCCAAUUUUUACCUCUCUUCUUUGAUACUUGUUUCCACCCCGCCCUUGAGUUUUGUUCCGUUCUAACCAUCAGAGGGCCCAUUCGCAAAAGACCUUUGAGUUAAGAGAAACCUGGAUAAGCUUUCAUAAUUUAACCCCAUUCUUUGAAGCACAAAGAAUGUUCUUUUGCUUUCUCCGUGAGAAAUUUGUCUAAAUUAAAACAGUGGCUGAUGUUUACCUAAGAGUUUACACUGAGAAAUGGCAAAAAAAAAAAAAAAAAAAAAAAAAAAAAAAAAAGUACUGCAACUGAAUCCUCCAGUUUGCAAGACCAAUGGGCCUCUCUUUCCAAUGAUGACCGACUAGGCCAUCUUCUGCUACAUAUGCAGCUAGAGACACGAGCUCUGGGGUGCUGGUUAGUUCAUAAUGUUGUCCCACCUAUAGGGUUGCAGACCCCUUCAGCUCCUUGAGUACUUUCUCUAGCUCCUCCAUUGGGGGUAAUUUACUUUUUUAUUUUUAAUUAUUCACUUUACAUCCCACUCACUGCCUGCCUCCAUGUCACCCCUCACACAAUCCUUCCCCCAUCCCCCAUCUGUCCCCUCUCCCCUGAGAGAGUUGCCUCUCCCCCCACCCCCACCCCUGUGAAUGUGUCUCACCCUCAUCCUGGCACUUCAAGUCUCUGCUAAUAAAACAUAGCUCACAAACAGGCAACAGCUUUUGGGAUAGCCCCAGUUCCAGUUGUUCAGGACCCAUAUGAAGGUCAAGCUGUCCAUCUGCUACAUACACAGUAGGGAAGCCUAAGGCCAGCUGGUGUAUGCUCUUUGAUGGUUCAGACUCUGAGAUCCUCAAGGAUACACCUUAGUUAGCUCUGAUGGUCUUACUACAGAUGAACUCUUUUCAAACCAACGUAACUUCUCAAUAUGAUCUUCUCUGAGAAAACCUUACCAGUUGUCCUAGAAGGAUAUCAUCCCUUCCUGUACCUUGUGUUGUCCUCCCUCCUUGGUGCACGUUGCAAUGUGACUUGUGCUGCUGUCAUUUGCAUGUGUAUGUCACUUUUUUUUUUAAUUAAACUGUAGUUCUGUCUUUUUUUCAUCUUUGUGUUGAUGGUGCUUUACUCAAUGCUGAGCAUGGAGUAAGCAUUCACUAAGUCUAAGAUACUAAGUAGAUGACUUUGCCUAUCGUUUUUUAGUUAAAAUACACCACAUUCUUUAUUUAAAGGCACACCCCUCUACCUGAUAUUUGUAGCUCACAGCAAAUAAAGCAUCCGGGCGUGGUGGCACAGGCCAUUAAUCCCAGCACUCGGGAGGCAGAGGCAGGCGGAUUUCUGAGUUCAAGGCCAGCCUAGUCUACAAAGUGAGUUCCAGGACAGCUAGGGCUACACAGAGAAACCCUGUCUCAAAAAAACCAAAUGACAAUAAUUAAUAAUAAUAAUGAUAAUAAUAAAUAAUAAAGCAGACAUGAAUUGAAAAUAAGCUGUAAUGGAAGGUGACUUGAGUUUAUUACAAAACAGAUACUAGCCUCUACUUUGUAUUAGUGAGGGCUUGUGGAUUCUCUGAAAUAUAAAAGGAUCAAUGCUGACUGCCACAGACGCUAUCCCUGAACAAAUAUCCUGACAAGAGAAAGUCCAAAUAUCCAUAUGAUUUCAUUAAUUAAUAUGAAUAUAUACAUAUACAUGUACACAUAUAUUGCUCAAUCAACGUUUAUAAAAUAGGCUUUGAUUUUCUUGAAAACAGAUUCUAUUUUACAUGUCUGUGUCCUCUUCCACUUCUCAAUUAUAACAAAAAAUAAUCAUCAAAUAUUUAUUUAUUCAUUUGACUUCAAAUAGUAAGAUUAAAAUGAAAUUCUAUAAAAAUGAAACAAUAGUGUGGCAAGAUGGCAGUCAGUGGUUCUCUGCUUUUGACAUGUGUUACUAUUGAAGUUUGAUGGAUAACAUUCAAACUUUUAACCACUUAUUAUUUGAUGUACAUGUUUUUCACUUGAUGAUAGUAUGGAAAUAUAUCCCAAAGUGUAUUCUGUCUUUUAUUUUCUUUGUAGUGAAAUAAUGAACAUGAAAUAUUCCACACUUCAUUAUAACAUCAAUUGUGUGUUUUUAAGCAGCUUGAAGGUAAAAUUUGUAAGGUUCAUUAAAUGCAUUCAUUUAUGUUAUAUUAUAUAAUUUUAUUUUGUAAUUUAACAUACUGUUUAGGGGGGACAUAUCCACAUCAUAAGUUAAAGAUUAUCUGUGUUUAAUAAUCAUCAAAUAUAGAAAUAGUUAUGAAAUUAGCCACUAUGAAGUGACUGGUUGCUAUAUAUCUAAUAGUAUUUCAUUUAUAGUUGCAUGAGAUUUUCUUUUCCCUUCUUCUCAUUAGACUUAAAAGGGAGGUGCUUUCCUUUCCAUUUUAAUGUUGACCCAUUAAUAGACACGUCAAAUGACCUACCACAGAUAAGGUGCACAUAAUUGCACAUAAUUUACGGAAGUAAAAUUGGCACAAUUACUCUGCUGCAUUAGCCAAGCUCUUCAAAGAUUGUUUUCUUCUUUAUUAACCUAAAUAGGCCUUAAUUUGCCUGUUACAUCAGACUCUUUAAAACUAGGUACAUACACCUACUUAACAUUCAUAACUGAGUGUAUCCACCCCUCCUAUUGACACAGUAGACAACUACCACAUAAGAUAAAUCUGAUAAGGUUGAAUGGAAGAUAAAGGUCUUUUCCUCAUUGGUUCAAAUGAAAGCCAGUCCUCCACAUGUUUAGGAUACUGAAGUCAUCUCUUUUGAUCAUUCUAUGGCAGUCAUAAUAGAGUCAGUGAGGCGUCAUGAAGAAAGAGGGAUGUGAUGAAAUGCCCAUGGCAUUGGGGAUUGCAGAUAAGUGUACACUGUCCAGUAGAUGCAGCAUGUGCCUAUCUAUGCUGAGGUCAAUGUCAAGCACAUUAGCAUAGAACGAAUCUGCCAGCAGAACAUACAAAGGAAAAAAGCCAGAUUCUUGAGGAUAUUCAAAGCUCCCUUGUGUAUAAACCUUUUCUUGCAAAUAGUAUAGACUAGAGACUGGGAUUUUUAAAAAGUUAUAAUAAUGUCCCAUGAAGGAACUUGGAUAAUUUAUUAUGACUUAAUUUUCAUGCAAAUCUCACCACCUGUUCAAAAACACCUUUGCAUGAAAUCUAUAUGUAAACUGACUUCCUUCACAGGGAAUUUGCUACACAUUUCAAGUUCCUUUGGGAAUGUGGCCAAUAAUAUAACUGCCAAGAUAGCAGUAGAUUUCUACUGCAGAUAGUGGAAACUUCUAACCAGUUCUGUAAAACACUUGUAAUCUAAAAGAAGAAAGGACACAGGAAAACAACGGUACUCAUAAAGAUAAUCUGAAAUAUAACCAGGUUGAGGGAAUUUCCCUAUGUUAAGCAGAAAAUGUCAGGAAUGGGAAAAGAAAUUGUUCCUGGUGAUUUGCUGCCUGUGCCCUGCCUGCCACUCACCACCCGACCCUACCAUCCCUUGGAUGUUGGGGAUGAGAUGGCAUGAAAUCAACAACACAGACUCAGGGAGCAGGUGAGAAACGCUGCAGCAAGCUUCUUAAUACCCUCUACCCAUGCCACAUUGGUCCCGAGAAAACUUCUCUUCUAAACAGCAGUUCCCGAUUGGCUGGUAUUGUCAGCGCCAGCAAUCCUUGGUCUCUCAGGCAGUCCUCAAUUAGGUCCUCCUUCCUGCAGGGCAUGCUUUUGAGGCCUUUGGCGUUUACAAGAGAUGGCCCUGCCAUUCCUGUUACAUGAUUCUAAUACUAUUUAUAAAUUAGCAUUUAUGUAUGUAUGUAUGUAUGUAUGUAUGUAUGUAUGUAUGUAUGUAUGAGCAGCUUGAACUCUGCCAUUAAGGUAAUCCAGUUUUUUAAGAGCAGUAGACUGAAAUUCAUGGUCUGUGGUUCUAGACUUCUUUGGCUUUCUCCUUUGAUCUCCACUGUUUAGCAUUCUAAGUCAAUUUUUUUCUGAUUAGAAAACCAUAAUUUGGAUUUCCCCAGGGCUAAGCUAUGGCUUUACUGUGUAUACGUCAUUGAUGUGAACUCUACAUUCUGUUCACAUCUGACAAUGAAGAUUGAGAUUGAAGUUAUCUCAUGAAACUAGGAAAGGGUAGAGGACAACUUCUUAUUUUUAUCAUUUAGCAACUAAUUUCUAAUAUCUCCUUCAUUGAAAAUAAUGACAUACCUCAAUCCGUAGUGUCUACAUACAUCAAAACAUCAUAUUGCAUUCCAUUAGAUAUAUUGGCAAAUAACUUAUCAAUUGCCAAAAAGAAUUGAAAAGCAAUAAACGUAAUAUAAAAGCCAGGAAACUACAGGUACUUUCCAAACUUUAAUAACUACAACCUAGCAAGCUCAUCAUAAUAUAGUGAUGUUGUAAGUCAUGAGUGCAUGCAAUACAUUUAUAUAUCAUAGAAUGGGUGAAUGGGCUACUGUACUGAAAGUAGAUACCAUUGAGGUUAUUAUAGAUUGAAUUUCCACUGUCAUAAAGUAAAAAAUAAUAAUAAUAAAUUGUUCAUCUUAAGGUUUUGCAGUCAUAUGUAACUAGAUACUUCCUGAAUGGCAUUUAGUACAGUAGGUAUGAGAACCACACAUAUUGCCUUAAUUCUAACCAUGGUUCUGUACUUCCCACAUUAUUUGGUUUUUAUCCCCCAGGGUUUUUUUUUUCCAAUUUUAGGAUAAGGAUAAAUAUAACUGUUUUAUAAAUGUGAUUUUUCAAUAUUAAGUGAAAUAAAUACAGGUGUAUUAUGGUUCUCUAGAGAAACAGAACUGAUAGACUAUAAACUGGAUUUCCUAAAGUGGCUUAUAGAUUAUGAUCCAACUAUUACAACUGCUGUAUCCAGUAGUCAUUCAGUCCACAAGACUGGAUGUGUCAGCUAGUCUUCGGUCAGAAUCUCAGACAUGGACUCUGAUGCCAGUGAGGAAAUGGAUUUAUACCAAGAGUGAAAAGAAACGGUCAAAGAGCAAGAGCUUCCAGAGAAAGCCCAGGUUAAAGGUAGGUCUUAUGACCUCAGGUGUUAUGGAUUUAAGUUGCAUCUUUUUAUCACAAAUGAUGCAAUUACUUAAAAAUCAAUUACAGGUAUGCCCACCAACUUAUGUUUUUCAUUAGUUCUAUAUGUGCUCAUGCUGAAAAACAAGAAUAGCCAUUACAACAGGUAUAUACAAAUGUACAUAUGAACAUAUAUACAUAUACAUAUGCAUACACAUAGAUUCGAAUAGUAAUUGGAAUAAUUUUAUUAUUUUCUAUUAUUACCAAAACCUAAAUUUGAAUACACAACCCACUGAUUCUUUACCUUUCACACUCUCAUAUGAGCUUCAUAUUUUUAAAUAGCUUUAUUAAUUAUUUGAGAAAUUCUUUCUUCUUUUUUUAUUGAAAAUAGAUUAAUCUCAUGUCAUGCAUUCCAAACACAGUUUCCCUACACUCCUAUUCUCUCAGAUCCCCCUACCCAUAUCCCCUCUCCCUGUAUCAACUUCCACCCCAUCUCCAUUCAGAAAAGGGCAGACCUCUAUAAGACAACAACCAAACAUAAAGUGUGUGUGUGUGUGUGUGUGUGUGUGUGUGUGUGUGUGUGUGUGUGCAUAGAUAGAUAGGUAGAUAGAUAGAUAGAUAGAUAGAUAGAUAGAUAGAUAGAUAGAUAGAUAGAGAUAAGUAGAGAUAAGGCAUAAGCCCUCACACUGAGGCUGGACAAGGCAACCCAAAAGAAAGGAAGGAGUCCCAAGAGCAGGAAAAGGAGUCAAAGACACAUCUUCUCCCAGAGUUAGGAAUCCCACAGAGACACCAAGCUAACAGCUACAACAUAUACACACAAAGAACCUAGUGCAAAGCCCUGUCAUCUGCAUUCCUGCCACUUCAGUCUCUGUGGGCCCAUAUGUGCCUUGCUGAGUUGAUUCUCUGGACUGUGUUCUCUUGACCCUCCAACUGACUCCUAUGAUCUUUUCCACCCUACCCAACUCUUCUGAAAGAUUCCACGUGCGUUUUAAUUGUAUUUAAUUACCACUCUAUAUCCACACCACCAUCACAUUCUCUAUCUAUAUCCAUCACAUUCUCUGUCUCUGUCUCUCUGUCUCUCUCUCUGUGUCUCUCUCUCUGUCUCUGUCUCUCUCUCUCUCUGUCUCUCUGUCUCUCUCUCUGUCUCUCUCUGUCUCUCUCUCUGUGUCUCUCUCUCUCUCUCUCUCACACACACACACACACACACACACACACAUCACACAUAAACACACAUAGACUUCUUUUUGUGCUUCUCAUUUAUUCGUGGUUGUGGGACCAUCACUGUAGUGAAGUUUAACAGAAGCUACACCCUCUAAAAAUGAAAUUCUUCCUCCCCUGAGAAGCCAUCAAGUGUUCAUAGCUCUUCUGUGUUUUGAGGACUCAUGAGUACCUUUGUACUCCAUGCUAAAACAUUGACUUGCUUGACUACAUGCAUGCCUUGUGCAGGCAGGUGCUGUGAGUUCAUGACAAUCCGGCAAUCCUGUCAUAUCCAAGAUAUGUUUCCUUCUGAAACUCCCUGAUCUCUGUAUUUUACAAUCUUCCCACCCCCUUUUUUUUUCAUGAUGGAACCUGUGUCUUGUGCAGGUGAUACAGAUGUUCUACUUAUGACUGUACUUUGUGUUUUAUACUCGACUCUUUAAUGUAGGGAGACACUUAUGUAUAUCACUGACAUCAAAUCCAGGGUCUCUCACAUCAUUGCUAUUUGGAUUUAGUUCAAAACAAUGUCUGCAAAUUUGCAGCUCUUGUACCACAUCCAAUAUCAGCAAGACAGAAUGUUGCAGUCAUCGUAGAGUUUUGUCUCCCACAUAAUCCAAUGAGUAUUUUUGAAUGUAUAUAUUUUCCCACACUCCACAUUACUUUGAAAAUUCCUCAUCUACCUUCUGUAAUAAGGUGAUAUUCUGAACUCUCAGUGAACUCUUGCCUAGUCAUAAACCACCCAACGUGGCCUAGACAAUAUCCCCAUUUUUUAAAGUAGACAACAACACUGUCUACCACUUCUAUUUAGGAGUCCACUGCUUUAAAGUCAAAGGUAAAAUUAUUUUCCUGUGCCCAGCUGACCUUGAAUAUUUCAGCCAAUUCCCUGCACUUACUUUUCUUUGUCUUCCAUUAUGUAUGUGCCAUUGACCUCUGAGAGCCCCUCCACAAGUUUUGUCUUUUAGGGAUAGCAUUCCAUCUGAUGUGCUCUGACAUCAACCACUACGAUAUCACCCUUGACCUCCUCGGAGUAAGUAGCUCCCUCUCUCUGUGAAAUCCUCCUGCUGAUCCUGUACAUCUCAGUUCAUACAUCAUUUCUCGAGAGCAGCCCACCUGAUAAAUCUCACAUCAAUCUAAAUUACUUCCAUCAUUAUUUUCCUCCAUUCCUUAUUAUAAUUAUUAAUUGCAUAGAGCCUCUGUGUGGAUUUAACCUCAGUUGUUUCAUUUAUAUCAGAUGAAUGAAAAAUUUUAUACAACUUUUAGCUCUUUCCUUCUGGAAAACUUUCUACCCAUACUCAGUUACCAUCCAGUAAAGAAACAAGUAUUCUUUGCUCCUGAGCCACUGUACCCUUUCUAAAAACCCAUUGGUAAGGAAGAGGAUGUGACUCUUAGCUGUGGCAGAAUAAAGGUUACUCCUGAAAGAAAGGAGAAAAUUAUCUUGUGCAAAUGUAAGGCAUGUUUCUACACUCAGCGGAUGGAAAAAUAAUUUAUUAAGACUAAAGCCAACUGGAGCAAGAGCAUAAAUCCUGCCUAUAAAUAUAAGUAUGGGGAAAGCCAUUCUGUUUCUGUUUGGGUUUUGGUUCAUUUGUUUUUUUGAAGAAAGAGAAAGAAUGCAGCUGUGGGUAGAUAGGGAGUUGGGGGUAUCUGGGAGCAGUUGAAAGAUGGGAAAGAAAAUACUCAAAAUAAAUUGAACGAUAUUUUGAAAAAUAUUCUUCAUCUAAAAAGUGUAGACAAAGCAGAGAAAUCACACAUUUUCUUGCUUUUAAUACUGACACUGUCAUCUGAUCUCAUAAAAAGUUCUUCUUCCAUGAAAAUCCAUGUUAUUGAAACCACUUUAAAAAUAAAACAGGUGUCAACACUUUAAAUUUUGUCAACUAUAAACUAUUCUAUCUUUCAAAAAUUAUGUCCAGAAGACUCAAAAAUAGUGAGAUGUCUUCAAGAAUAUGCUUAUUUUAUUGUUGACUAUAAUAUAAAGACUUUUAUACUAUAGAAGUGUAACUCCUGUAAUUGAAGCACAAUACAUUUUACAACUGCUCCUAUUAAUCAAGCUUUCUUCAUGUGAUAGCUCUGUGAAAAAAGGCUAUAAUUGGUCCUUUUUUGAACACUAAUUUUCAUGAGAAAUUAGUAUAUACAUAAAAAUAUU
rnacentral:lncRNA from 1 species